GACGGAGGAGGCAAGCGUUGUCCGGAAUUAUUGGGCGUAAAGAGCGCGUAGGCGGUUUUCCAAGUCAUAUGUGAAAACUUUAGGCUUAACCUAAAGAUUGCAUGUGAAACUGGAUAACUAGAGUACGGCAGAGGAAAGUGGAAUUUCCGGUGUAGCGGUGAAAUGCGUAGAGAUCGGAAGGAACACCAGUGGCGAAGGCGGCUACCUGGCCUAAUACUGACACUGAGGCACGAAAGCGUGGGGAGCAAACAGGAUUAGAUACCCGGGUAGUCCCUGAG
rnacentral:rRNA from 1 species